rnacentral:rRNA from 1 species
AUUGAACGCUGGCGGAAUGCUUUACACAUGCAAGUCGAACGGCAGCACGGGUGCUUGCACCUGGUGGCGAGUGGCGAACGGGUGAGGAAUACAUCGGAAUCUGCCUAUUUGUGGGGGAUAACGUAGGGAAACUUACGCUAAUACCGCAUACGACCUACGGGUGAAAGCGGAGGACCUUCGGGCUUCGCGCAGAUAGAUGAGCCGAUGUCGGAUUAGCUAGUUGGCGGGGUAAAGGCCCACCAAGGCGACGAUCCGUAGCUGGUCUGCGAGGAUGAUUAGCCACACUUGAGCUGAGACACGGUCCAGACUCCUACGGGAGUCAGCAGUGGGGAAUAUUGGACAAUGGGCGCAAGCCUGAUCCAGCCAUGCCGCGUGGGUGAAGAAGGCCUUCGGGUUGUAAAGCCCUUUUGUUGGGAAAGAAAAGCAGUCGGUUAAUACCCGAUUGUUCUGACGGUACCCAAAGAAUAAGCACCGGCUAACUUCGUGCCAGCCGCCGCGGUAAAAC